CCUACGGGUGGCUGCAGUGGGGAAUAUUGCACAAUGGGCGCAAGCCUGAUGCAGCCAUGCCGCGUGUGUGAAGAAGGCCUUCGGGUUGUAAAGCACUUUCAGCGGGGAGGAAGGCGGUGAGGUUAAUAACCUCAUCGAUUGACGUUACCCGCAGAAGAAGCACCGGCUAACUCCGUGCCAGCAGCCGCGGUAAUACGGAGGGUGCAAGCGUUAAUCGGAAUUACUGGGCGUAAAGCGCACGCAGGCGGUCUGUCAAGUCGGAUGUGAAAUCCCCGGGCUCAGCCUGGGAACUGCAUUCGAAACUGGCAGGCUAGAGUCUUGUAGAGGGGGGUAGAAUUCCAGGUGGAGCGGUGAAAUGCGUAGAGAUCUGGAGGAAUACCGGUGGCGAAGGCGGCCCCCUGGACAAAGACUGACGCUCAGGUGCGAAAGCGUGGGGAGCAAACAGGAUUAGAUACCCCUGUAGUC
rnacentral:rRNA from 1 species